rnacentral:rRNA from 1 species
UACGUAGGGGGGCAAGCGUUGUCCGGAUUCAUUGGGCGUAAAGAGCGUGUAGGCGGCCAGGUAGGUCGGUUGUGAAAAACUGGAGGCUCAACCUUCAGAGGUCGACCGAAACCAUCUGGCUAGAGUCCGGGAGAGGAGAGUGGAAUUCCUGGUGUAGCGGUGAAAUGCGCAGAUAUCAGGAAGAACACCCGUGGCGAAAGCGGCUCUCUGGAACGGUACUGACGCUGAGACGCGAAAACGUGGGGAGCGAACAGG